CGCAGCAUAGUGAAGUGGAGUCCACCCAUUUUCAUCUCUUUCUCUAGCCAAACUACUCAUUCUCUCCAAUAGUUUGCUUACAGCAGCUACAUCCCAUCUGAUUAUCGCCGCAUUCAACGCUGUUUUACCAUUGGGGCCUCCAUAAUCUAAUGAUUGUGAAUUUGGAUUACUUAAAAGUUCAAUGACUAUAUCUGUACAUUCGUUAUCAGCAGCUAUGUAAAGUGGAGGUUCCCAAUAAUCAUUAGCAGAAUAUGUAAACUCAGGAUCUUCAAUGCUCAAAAUUGCCUUCACAACAUCGAGACCAUUAUUAUUUCGUGCGGCCUCAUGCAAGGCCGUUUCUUUCUUUUUAUUUGUGAUCCUUACCAUCUGCCUGGCGGCUGCCAUUUGCCUGGUUGUUGCAUCUUCUCCGCUUUCUACAUCUGUAGGAUCAUAUGAGGCAGCUUUAGCCUGUUCGAUUAGCGCUUUUGCUGCAUCAGAAUGACCAUACCUGGCUGCUAUGUGCAACGGAGUAUCACCAUCGAGAUUGACCUGAACUAAAAGCGAGGGACAAAUGCCAAGUACCUGUCCUAUGAAAUCGGUGGAUCUUUCACUUGGAGAGGUAAGGUAGAUGUGCAAUAUUGUGUUUUCAUUUGGGGUCAAUAAGCAACGAAGAUCUAUAUAAUCCUUGAAACAGUCAAUUAUGCCUUUUGCUGCCGCCUUCUGUAAGUCUGCUUCCAUGUAUGCGACAGUUUCCAUUGAACACACAAGAAAGUGGUAGAAUUUGUCUAUGUUGAAACAAGUAGGUGAGUUGAAUGCUUAAUAUGUUUUUCGGAAAGUUAAAUAAGGCAGCCACU
rnacentral:misc_RNA from 1 species